rnacentral:rRNA from 1 species
GAUGAACGCUGGCGGCGUGCUUAACACAUGCAAGUCGAACGAGAAGUGGAGACGGAAACCUUCGGGCGGAAGACUUUACUUCGAGUGGCGGACGGGUGAGUAACGCGUGGGUAACCUGCCCCAUACAGGGGGAUAACAGUUGGAAACGACUGUUAAUACCGCAUAAGACCACAGCACCGCAUGGUGCGGGGGUAAAAACUCCGGUGGUAUGAGAUGGACCCGCGUUCGAUUAGCCAGUUGGCGGGGUAACGGCCCACCAAAGCGACGAUCGAUAGCCGAUCUGAGAGGAUGACCGGCCACAUUGGGACUGAGACACGGCCCAAACUCCUACGGGAGGCAGCAGUGGGGAAUAUUGCACAAUGGGGGAAACCCUGAUGCAGCGACGCCGCGUGAGUGAAGAAGUAUUUCGGUAUGUAAAGCUCUAUCAGCAGGGAAGAAAAUGACAGUACCUGAGUAAGAAGCCCCGGCUAACUACGUG